UACAGAGGGUGCUAGCGUUGUUCGGAAUCAUUGGGCGUAAAGCGCACGUAGGCGGGUUGUUAAGUCAGGGGUGAAAUCCUGGAGCUCAACUCCAGAACUGCCUUUGAUACUGGCAACCUAGAGACUGGAAGAGGUUAGUGGAAUUCCCGAGUGUAGAGGUGAAAUUCGUAGAUAUCGGGAGGAACACCGGUGGCGAAGGCGACUUCCUGGCCUGUUCUUGACGCUGAGGCGCGAAAGCUAGGGGAGCAAACGGG
rnacentral:rRNA from 1 species